GCUGGGAGUAGUGGUGCACGCCUGUAGUCCCAACUACUUGGGAGGCUGAGGUGGGAAGAUUUCUUGAGCCCAGGAAUUUGAGGCUGCAGUGAGCUAUGAUAGCGCCAUUGAGCUCCAGCCUGGGCAACAGAGUGAGAUCCUGCCUCAA
rnacentral:SRP_RNA from 1 species